AUUGCCGUUGAUACUGUGUGUCUUGAGUACAUCUGAGGCAGGCGGAAUGUGUGGUGUAGCGGUGAAAUGCUUAGAUAUCACACAGAACACCGAUUGCGAAGGCAGCUUGCUAAGAUAUAACUGACGCUGAAGCACGAAAGCGUGGGUAUCAAACAGGAUUAGAUACCCUGGUAGUCCACGCUGUAAACGAUGAAUACUCGAUGUUUGCGAUUUCCGGUGAGCGUCCAAGCGAAAGCGUUAAGUAAUCCACCUGGGGAGUACGCCGGCAACGGUGAAACUCAAAGGAAUUGACGGGGGCCCGCACAAGCGGAGGAACAUGUGGUUUAAUUCGAUGAUACGCGAGGAACCUUACCCGGGAUUGAAA
rnacentral:rRNA from 1 species